CCACUACUUUUCUUCCUUACAUCAACAUAAUGGUUAGUAGUAUAGAUAAUAGUGCAACACAAAAAUUAUACCUGAGAGCUUCUCGUGCUGAUAACGUGUUAUAAAAUGAACGGGGAUAUGAGCGAAUAUUGAGCUGCACGUAAAGUAGAUGAGACACAGCAUUUAACGAGGUUCGGCUAUGCCUACGUCCUCGGAGAGCAGCAACAGUAACCUUUCAUUCAUAACAUAAUAUGGUUACAACUCUAGUGUUUACAAUAUGUAUGCUCACCUAAUUUUCUCUCUAGGAGAAUUUCUCUUUGCUCUCUUUCUCUUCACACACUCACCCUCUUUCUUCCUUCCCUUCAUCUUCUCUCAUUUCAUCUCACAUUACAAGCAAAUAGAAUGCCUAUUUAUAGGCAAAGCAAAUGGCUUGGUUUGGUGGGUGUGUGAUUUGGUUUGGUGGGUGUGUGAUUUGGUUUGGUGGGUGUGUGAUUUGGUUUGGUAGGUAUGUGGUUUGGUUUGAUGGGUGUGUGGUUUGAUUUGGUG
rnacentral:lncRNA from 1 species